rnacentral:rRNA from 1 species
CUUGGUCAUUUAGAGGAAGUAAAAGUCGUAACAAGGUUUUCAUAAAACACACCAUACUGAAGCCUUGAUCCCAGUCUAUUAUAUAGGCAACACCUUUAAUGUGCUUGGAUAUCUAAAAGGUAACAAGCAGCUGCUAACAGCAGUUCACAGAUCAGACAAAGGUGGUCCUUAGGGUAUUGCUAUAGCUAUAUUUAGCUAUAGCCUUAGGAUUUAGAUAUGACCGGCCUACUUUUGUAAAACUAGUAGACUUUGGCGUUCCGUAGGUGAACCUGCGGAAGGAUCAUUA